UCCCCAGCUGAGGCUGAGAACUAGUACAUACCUGACAGGCCCUUAUCCUGCCCAGCCACUCUGCUGCCAAAUUCAAAUGUCACUUUGUCCAGACUGCUGGUGGAAGGAACAGACUCCUCAUCCCAAACUACCAUGGUAGGGGAUUCAUCCAGAUCAGCUUCAUAAAGUUAGGACAGGAAAGGAGAAAGUAUCGUCUAGUGGUGAAAGCACAGAACUAGGGAAGAAGGAGACUGCACUUCAUUCCCAGUCUUGCUGUAGACACUGUCCUUGGGAUUUCGGCACUGAAAAGACAAACAAGAAGUGCAUUCAUAAUCACAAUCGUAUUCACCUCUGCAAAGCGCCGACCGCUGCUAAUUUCAGAUUGAUGUUGAGCUCGAAACUCCAGACACAUAAGCAAGCAACAUUUAAAAUGUGUUUCAUAAAUAAAUCUGCCCUACCACCCUGGGCCUGAUUCUCUUUUGCCACUUUAAGUUCGGUGCCUGUCAUGGUGGCAACCCUAGGACCCGCUGGUGGACACCAGUGGUGAGGGGAGCUGUCAAGGCGAAGGACUCCUGUUACAGCUGAGAGAUACCGGCUGGUGAAGAGGGCUGUGGCUGUGGCAGUCAUUGAAGCAAAAACCCGGGCUUGGGAUGAGUUUGGAAAGACCAUGGAGAAUGACUACCGGACGGCCUCAAAGGUGUUCUGGCAAAACGUUCGUCGCCUUAGGAGGGAUCGGUGGGACAUUGCCCAAGCUGUUCUCAGCAAGGGUGGUGAAACGCUGACCUCGACUGAGGAGGGAUACACCCUCCCUUCAGGAGGCAGUACCGGAAAUGUUUGGUGACAUCGGGUCUAUUUCUGUUGUUGAGUCAUUACGGUGGUAAAGUGCCUUUGUAGCAGUAAGGCAGCUGAGGUGGACGCGAGACAUUGGAAUCACUGGACAAUGUUGGGGUGUCGUGGUUAACGUGCCUCUUCAAUGUUGCAUGGAAGGCGGGUGCAGUACCUCUGGACUGACAGACCGGGGUGGUGGUCCCACUCUUAAUGUCUAACUACCUUUGAGGAGCUGGACCGCUACCUCUCUGUGCCUCAGUUUCCCCAUCUGCAAAUGGUGACAGUGACACUU